CUCACCCUUGUUCUCACCAAAUUCACCAAAUUGACAAGGGAAAAUCGAUGUUUAUCAGUUGCAUGUGGUAGAAUUUCGAUCAUUUACCCAUACCCAAUCAAGUGGUGUGAAGGAAGAAGGUUCGAAUUCUAAGAAGCCGGAAGGAUCACAAGACCGAGGUGUGAAGGAAGAAGGUUCGAAUUCUAAGAAGCCGGAAGGAUCACAAGACCGAGG